UACGUAUGGAGCAAGCGUUAUCCGGAUUUACUGGGUGUAAAGGGAGCGUAGGCGGCAGAGCAAGUCUGAUGUGAAAGCCCGGGGCUCAACCCCGGUAGUGCAUUGGAAACUGUUCGGCUCGAGUGUCGGAGGGGUAAGCGGAAUUCCUGGUGUAGCGGUGAAAUGCGUAGAUAUCAGGAAGAACACCGGAGGCGAAGGCGGCUUACUGGACGAUUACUGACGCUGAGGCUCGAAAGCGUGGGGAGCGAACAGG
rnacentral:rRNA from 1 species